CCGAAUGGGGAAACCCAGUGUGACUCGUCACACUAUCAUUAACUGAAUCCAUAGGUUAAUGAGGCGAACCGGGGGAACUGAAACAUCUAAGUACCCCGAGGAAAAGAAAUCAACCGAGAUUCCCCCAGUAGCGGCGAGCGAACGGGGAGGAGCCCAGAGCCUGAAUCAGCAUGUGUGUUAGUGGAAGCGUCUGGAAAGGCGCGCGAUACAGGGUGACAGCCCCGUACACAAAAGCGCAUGUGCUGUGAGCUCGAUGAGUAGGGCGGGACACGUGGUAUCCUGUCUGAAUAUGGGGGGACCAUCCUCCAAGGCUAAAUACUCCUGACUGACCGAUAGUGAACCAGUACCGUGAGGGAAAGGCGAAAAGAACCCCGGCGAGGGGAGUGAAAAAGAACCUGAAACCGUGUACGUACAAGCAGUGGGAGCACCCUUUGGGGUGUGACUGCGUACCUUUUGUAUAAUGGGUCAGCGACUUAUAUUCUGUAGCAAGGUUAACCGAAUAGGGGAGCCGGAGGGAAACCGAGUCUUAAUUGGGCGUUAAGUUGCAGGGUAUAGACCCGAAACCCGGUGAUCUAGCCAUGGGCAGGUUGAAGGUUGGGUAACACUAACUGGAGGACCGAACCGACUAAUGUUGAAAAAUUAGCGGAUGACCUGUGGCUGGGGGUGAAAGGCCAAUCAAACCGGGAGAUAGCUGGUUCUCCCCGAAAGCUAUUUAGGUAGCGCCUCGUGAAUUCAUCUCCGGGGGUAGAGCACUGUUUCGGCUAGGGGGCCAUCCCGGCUUACCAACCCGAUGCAAACUGCGAAUACCGGAGAAUGUUAUCACGGGAGACACACGGCGGGUGCUAACGUCCGUCGUGAAGAGGGAAACAACCCAGACCGCCAGCUAAGGUCCCAAAGUCAUGGUUAAGUGGGAAACGAUGUGGGAAGGCCCAGACAGCCAGGAUGUUGGCUUAGAAGCAGCCAUCAUUUAAAGAAAGCGUAAUAGCUCACUGGUCGAGUCGGCCUGCGCGGAAGAUGUAACGGGGCUAAACCAUGCACCGAAGCUGCGGCAGCGACGCUGAUGCGUUGUUGGGUAGGGGAGCGUUCUGUAAGCCUGCGAAGGUGUGUCGUGAGGCAUGCUGGAGGUAUCAGAAGUGCGAAUGCUGACAUAAGUAACGAUAAAGCGGGUGAAAAGCCCGCUCGCCGGAAGACCAAGGGUUCCUGUCCAACGUUAAUCGGGGCAGGGUGAGUCGACCCCUAAGGCGAGGCCGAAAGGCGUAGUCGAUGGGAAACGGGUUAAUAUUCCCGUACUUGGUGUUACUGCGAAGGGGGGACGGAGAAGGCUAUGUUGGCCGGGCGACGGUUGUCCCGGUUUAAGCGUGUAGGUGUGUGUUCCAGGUAAAUCCGGUUCACUUUAACACUGAGGCGUGAUGACGAGGCACUACGGUGCUGAAGCAACAAAUGCCCUGCUUCCAGGAAAAGCCUCUAAGCAUCAGGUAACAUCAAAUCGUACCCCAAACCGACACAGGUGGUCAGGUAGAGAAUACCAAGGCGCUUGAGAGAACUCGGGUGAAGGAACUAGGCAAAAUGGUGCCGUAACUUCGGGAGAAGGCACGCUGACACGUAGGUGAAGUGAUUUACUCAUGGAGCUGAAGUCAGUCGAAGAUACCAGCUGGCUGCAACUGUUUAUUAAAAACACAGCACUGUGCAAACACGAAAGUGGACGUAUACGGUGUGACGCCUGCCCGGUGCCGGAAGGUUAAUUGAUGGGGUCAGCGCAAGCGAAGCUCCUGAUCGAAGCCCCGGUAAACGGCGGCCGUAACUAUAACGGUCCUAAGGUAGCGAAAUUCCUUGUCGGGUAAGUUCCGACCUGCACGAAUGGCGUAAUGAUGGCCAGGCUGUCUCCACCCGAGACUCAGUGAAAUUGAACUCGCUGUGAAGAUGCAGUGUACCCGCGGCAAGACGGAAAGACCCCGUGAACCUUUACUAUAGCUUGACACUGAACAUUGAGCCUUGAUGUGUAGGAUAGGUGGGAGGCUUUGAAGUGUGGACGCCAGUCUGCAUGGAGCCGGCCUUGAAAUACCACCCUUUAAUGUUUGAUGUUCUAACGUGGACCCGUGAUCCGGGUUGCGGACAGUGUCUGGUGGGUAGUUUGACUGGGGCGGUCUCCUCCUAAAGAGUAACGGAGGAGCACGAAGGUUGGCUAAUCCUGGUCGGACAUCAGGAGGUUAGUGCAAUGGCAUAAGCCAGCUUGACUGCGAGCGUGACGGCGCGAGCAGGUGCGAAAGCAGGUCAUAGUGAUCCGGUGGUUCUGAAUGGAAGGGCCAUCGCUCAACGGAUAAAAGGUACUCCGGGGAUAACAGGCUGAUACCGCCCAAGAGUUCAUAUCGACGGCGGUGUUUGGCACCUCGAUGUCGGCUCAUCACAUCCUGGGGCUGAAGUAGGUCCCAAGGGUAUGGCUGUUCGCCAUUUAAAGUGGUACGCGAGCUGGGUUUAGAACGUCGUGAGACAGUUCGGUCCCUAUCUGCCGUGGGCGCUGGAGAACUGAGGGGGGCUGCUCCUAGUACGAGAGGACCGGAGUGGACGCAUCACUGGUGUUCGGGUUGUCAUGCCAAUGGCACUGCCCGGUAGCUAAAUGCGGAAGAGAUAAGUGCUGAAAGCAUCUAAGCACGAAACUUGCCCCGAGAUGAGUUCUCCCUGAGACUUAGAGUCUCCUGAAGGAACGUUGAAGACGACGACGUUGAUAGGCCGGGUGUGUAAGCGCAGCGAUGCGUUGAGCUAACCGGUACUAAUGAACCGUGAGGCUUAACCUUACAACGCCGAAG
rnacentral:rRNA from 1 species